GCAGGAUAGGUGGGAGGCGUUGAAAGUUUUCUUGCGGGAAGAUUUGAGCCAUUGGUGAGAUACCACUCUAACAAUGCUAGGAUUCUAACCCUAUGUCGUUAUCCGGCUAGGGGACAGUUUCAGGUGGUCAGUUUGACUGGGGCGGUCGCCUCCUAAAAGGUAACGGAGGCGUGCAAAGGUUCCCUCAGGCUGGUUGGAAAUCAGUCGUAGAGUGUAAAGGCAUAAGGGAGCUUGAUUGUGAGACCUACAAGUCGAACAAAGACGAAAGUCGGCCUUAGUGAUCCGGCGGUACCGAGUGGAAGGGCCGUCGCUCAACGGAUAAAAGUUACUCUAGGGAUAACA
rnacentral:rRNA from 1 species